rnacentral:lncRNA from 1 species
AUACUCUUUCAAAGGCUUUAUGGUGGAGGAGCAUGAUGAUGGUGGUGUGGAGGAGCAUGGUGGCGAGGGUUUUUUGGUGCGCCGCCGUGACUGUGAUGAGGAGGCGGAGCACGACGGUUGUGGUGGUGGCGGCUGCCGUGAGGAGAGGGAGCGUGAUGGUGAUGGUGGUGGUGCUUGAGUGAAUUAUCAACACUCCACAACAUAUCCUCAUCUUCAUCAUUUUCAUCUAUAUUGGAAUCGAAUAAUGAUGCAUCUUCUUCUAAACUACGAGCAAGAGAUGCAGUGACCAAAAAAAUCAAGAAUCCGAUGAGAAAUAAGAGGGAAUAUGCACGACACAUUUUGUUAUUGAUUUUGUUUUUGUGU